rnacentral:rRNA from 1 species
ACGAACGCUGGCGGCGUGCUUCACACAUGCAAGUCGCACGGAAAGACCCUGCUUUUGUGGGGUGCUCGAGUGGCGAACGGGUGAGUAACACGUGAGUAACCUGCCCUUGACUUUGGGAUAACUUCAGGAAACUGGGGCUAAUACCGGAUAGGAGCUCCUGCUGCAUGGUGGGGGUUGGAAAGUUUCGGCGGUUGGGGAUGGACUCGCGGCUUAUCAGCUUGUUGGUGGGGUAGUGGCUUACCAAGGCUUUGACGGGUAGCCGGCCUGAGAGGGUGACCGGCCACAUUGGGACUGAGAUACGGCCCAGACUCCUACGGGAGGCAGCAGUGGGGAAUAUUGCACAAUGGGCGGAAGCCUGAUGCAGCAACGCCGCGUGCGGGAUGACGGCCUUCGGGUUGUAAACCGCUUUCGCCUGUGACGAAGCGUGAGUGACGGUAAUGGGUAAAGAAGCACCGGCUAACUACGUG